rnacentral:rRNA from 1 species
CAUGGCUCAGAUUGAACGCUGGCGGCAGGCCUAACACAUGCAAGUCGAACGGUAGCACAGGAGAGUUUGCUCUCUGGGUGACGAGUGGCGGACGGGUGAGUAAUGCAUGGGGAGCUGCCCAAUCGAGGGGGAUACCAGCUGGAAACGGCUGCUAAUACCGCAUACGCCCUGAGGGGGAAAGGUGGGGACCUUCGGGCCUACCGCGAUUGGAUGCACCCAUGUGGGAUUAGCUAGUUGGUGAGGUAACGGGCUCACCAAGGCGACGAUCUCUAGCUGGUCUGAGAGGAUGACCAGCCACACUGGAACUGAGACACGGUCCAGACUCCUACGGGAGGCAGCAGUGGGGAAUAUUGCACAAUGGGGGAACCCUGAUGCAGCCAUGCCGCGUGUGUGAAGAAGGCCU